rnacentral:rRNA from 1 species
UACGGAGGGUGCAAGCGUUAAUCGGAAUUACUGGGCGUAAAGGGUGCGUAGGUGGUUUAUUAAGUUAGCUGUGAAAUUCCUGGGCUCAACCUGGGGUGGUCAGCUAAGACUGGUAGACUCGAGUAUGGGAGAGGGUAGUGGAAUUUCCGGUGUAGCGGUGAAAUGCGUAGAGAUCGGAAGGAACACCAGUGGCGAAGGCGGCUACCUGGCCUAAUACUGACACUGAGGCACGAAAGCGUGGGGAGCAAACAGG